rnacentral:tRNA from 1 species
GUUUCUUUAGUUUAUAGAGAAUAAGGCAUUGAAAAUGCUUAGGAGCAGAAAGGAGCA